UUAAUAGAGACCGUCGCCCCAGGGAGGAAACUCCCUCGGGGCAACACUCUCCACCCCUUGAUUAUUAUACCUAGUUGCUUUGGCGGGUCGUGGCUUCACGGCCCCGCUGGCUCCGGCUGGCGAGCACCCGCCGAAGGUCCAAGCAUAAAUUCUUGAAGUAAACACUGAAGUCUGAUUUAAACUAUGAAAAUAGCCUAAAACUUUCAACAACGGAUCUCUUGGUUCUGGCAUCGAUGAAGAACGCAGCGAAAUGCGAUAAGUAAUGUGAAUUGCAGAAUUCAGUGAAUCAUCGAAUCUUUGAACGCACAUUGCGCCCUCUGGUAUUCCGGGGGGCAUGCCUGUUCGAGCGUCAUUUACACCCCUCAAGCCCAGCUUGGUAUUGGGAGCCUGCCCCCCCGGGGGCAAUCCCGAAAUGCAGCGGCGGUGCGGCCGGAUUUCCUAGCGCAGUGACUUAUAUCAUCGCUACAAGGAAUCCGCGUCGUCCCGGCCGGACAACAACCAAAUUUUACCACGAUUGACCUCGGAUCAGGUAGGGAUACCCGCUGAACUUAAGCAUAUCAAUAAGCGGAGGAAAAGAAACCAACAGGGAUUGCCUCAGUAACGGCGAGUGAAGCGGCAACAGCUCAAAUUUGAAAUCUGGCGCCUUGUGCGCCCGAGUUGUAAUUUGUAGAGGAUGUUUCGGGUGCGGCACCGAUCUAAGUUCCUUGGAACAGGGCGUCAUAGAGGGUGAGAAUCCCGUAUGUGACCGGUCGCCUAUCCCAUGUGAAACUCCUUCGACGAGUCGAGUUGUUUGGGAAUGCAGCUCAAAAUGGGUGGUAUAUUUCAUCUAAAGCUAAAUAUUGGCCAGAGACCGAUAGCGCACAAGUAGAGUGAUCGAAAGAUGAAAAGCACUUUGGAAAGAGAGUUAAAAAGUACGUGAAAUUGUUGAAAGGGAAGCGCUUGCGACCAGACUCGCCCGGGGGUGAUCAACCGUCCUUUUGGGCGGUGCACUUUCCCUCGGGCGGGCCAGCAUCGGUUCGGGCGGCUGGAUAAAGGCUUCGGGAAUGUAGCUCCUCUCGGGGAGUGUUAUAGCCCGGGGUGCAAUGCAGCCAG
rnacentral:misc_RNA from 1 species